AUUGAACGCUGGCGGCAGGCCUAACACAUGCAAGUCGAACGAGUGGCGGACGGGUGAGUAAUGUCUGGGAAACUGCCCGAUGGAGGGGGAUAACUACUGGAAACGGUAGCUAAUACCGCAUACCAUCGGAUGUGCCCAGAUUGGAUUAGCUAGUCGGUGGGGUAAUGGCUCACCUAGGCGACGAUCCCUAGCUGGUCUGAGAUGAUGACCAGCCACACUGGAACAGAGAGACGGACCAGACACCUACGGGAGGCAGCAGUGGGGAAAAAUGCAAAAUGGGGGAAAGCCUGAUGAAGCCAUGCCGCGUGUAUGAAGAAGGCAAUCGGGUUGUAAAGUACAUUCGGCGAGAAGGCGUUACUCGCAGAAGAAGCACCGGCUAACUCCGUGCCAGCAGCCGCGGUAAUAC
rnacentral:rRNA from 1 species